GGGGGCGUAGCUCAGUUGGUCGAGCGCUUGCCUUGCAUGCAUAUGGCCCUGGGUUCCAUCCCCAGCACCACAG
rnacentral:tRNA from 1 species